rnacentral:rRNA from 1 species
UACGAAGGGGGCUAGCGUUGUUCGGAAUCACUGGGCGUAAAGCGCACGCAGGCGGAUCGUUAAGUCAGGGGUGAAAUCCCGGGGCUCAACCCCGGAACUGCCUUUGAUACUGGGUAUCUCGAGUCCGAGAGAGGUGAGUGGAAUUCCGAGUGUAGAGGUGAAAUUCGUAGAUAUUCGGAGGAACACCAGUGGCGAAGGCGGCUCACUGGCUCGGUACUGACGCUGAGGUGCGAAAGCGUGGGGAGCAAACAGGG